rnacentral:lncRNA from 1 species
UAUCAUGAUGAACUAGAGAGAGAGAGACUCAUAAACUCGUGUUAAUAUUAAUCAAGGCAGAGUUUACAAUAUAUAGCAAAGGAAAGACUAGGGUUUCAGCAUAAGAGAUAAGGCAAAGCAUGUGUAGUCAAAGCUAAAGGGAGCGGAUGGUUUGAACUAGCCAAUGGAGUGCUUCACACACUUUCAGCAUAUUCCAAGAU